AGCCUACGGGGCGCAGCAGUAGGGAAUUUUCGUCAAUGGGCGCAAGCCUGAACGAGCAAUGCCGCGUGAACGAGGAAGGUCUUCGGAUCGUAAAGUUCUGUUGAAGGGGAAAAAGAGCGGAGAGAGGAAAUGCUUUCUGAUUGAUAUUACCCUUCGAGGAAGUCACGGCUAACUACGUGCCAGCAGCCGCGGUAAUACGUAGGUGGCGAGCGUUAUCCGGAAUGAUUGGGCGUAAAGGGUGCGUAGGCGGCCUGCUAAGUCUGGAGUGAAAGGUACCGGCUCAACCGGUACGGGCUCUGGAAACU
rnacentral:rRNA from 1 species